UACAGAGGUCCCGAGCGUUGUUCGGAUUCACUGGGCGUAAAGGGUGCGUAGGUGGUGGGUAAGUCGGAUGUGAAAGCUCGGAGCUCAACUCCGAAAUGGCAUUGGAAACUACCCUGCUGGAGGUUUGGGAGGGGGGACUGGAAUACUUGGUGUAGCAGUGAAAUGCGUGGAUAUCAAGUGGAACACCAGUGGCGAAGGCGAGUCCCUGGACAAAACCUGACACUGAGGCACGAAAGCUAGGGGAGCAAACAGGAAUUAGAUACCCGGAGGUAA
rnacentral:rRNA from 1 species